rnacentral:tRNA from 1 species
GAGUUUGUGGCUCAGUGGUUAGAGUGUUUGACUUCUAAUCAAUGGUUCGCAGUUUCAAACCCC